CUUGGUCAUUUAGAGGAAGUAAAAGUCGUAACAAGGUUUCCGUAGGUGAACCUGCGGAAGGAUCAUUACAACGUAUCCACGUACCAAACUCUCGAACUGUUCCCAACGAAGUCAAACACUUGUGGAUGAAGUUAGACUGCUUGCUUCCCGCUGAUGGAGUUCGCUGGCAUUCGCUGGUGAACUGGAAGGCAUUCGGUCGUCAGAGCUGGACUCUGAGGCUUCGUUUACUUCGUUGCGGUUUACCCGUCAGCUUGAUUUACCCUUAUUAACCCUUUGAACUUAUGAACUGAACUUGAUGGCCUUGCGUCGUCCUUGCUGGCUUCGGUCACGGACAGCACGCCUGGUUUAUCACAUUUUACGAAACAAAGAACAACUCUUAGCAACGGAUAUCUUGGUUCUCGUAUCGAUGAAGAACGCAGCAAAAUGCGAUACGUAAUGCGAAUUGCAGAAUUCAGUGAAUCAUCAAAUCUUUGAACGCAAAUUGCGCUCUCGGGAUAGGCCUGGGAGCACGCCUCUUUGAGUAUCGUUUCAACCACAACUCGAAAGCGUGCUUAAUUGCACUGCUGACGGAGAAUGAGCGUUCUCGUGAAAGCGAGUCGCUUUAAAAUGAGCGAGUGACUAGACAGUUGUCGAAAGAUAAACUCUUGUCUGCUGUGACGAGGAUAACUUCACAUUCAUUUGUGAACCCUUCCAUCGUGACGUGCAGAUUGAGAGCUGUCUGAGGCAGCUGUCAUCUGUCACAGAACUCUGUGCAUCGUCUGCUAUGACGGUCGCAGAACUUCUCUUGAACUAGAUCUCAAAUGAAGCGAGAAAACCCGCUGAACUUAAGCAUAUCAAUAAGCGGAGGA
rnacentral:rRNA from 1 species